GAUGAACGCUGGCGGCGUGCCUAAUACAUGCAAGUCGAGCGAACGGACGAGAAGCUUGCUUCUCUGAUGUUAGCGGCGGACGGGUGAGUAACACGUGGAUAACCUACCUAUAAGACUGGGAUAACUUCGGGAAACCGGAGCUAAUACCGGAUAAUAUUAUGAACCGCAUGGUUCAAAAGUGAAAGACGGUCUUGCUGUCACUUAUAGAUGGAUCCGCGCUGCAUUAGCUAGUUGGUAAGGUAACGGCUUACCAAGGCAACGAUGCAUAGCCGAGCUGAGAGGGUGAUAGGCCACACUGGAACGGAGACACGGUCCAGACUCCUACGGGAGGCAGCAGUAGGGAAUCUUCCGCAAUGGGCGAAAGCCUGACGGAGCAACGCCGAGUGAGUUAUGAAGGUCUUCGGAUCGUAAAACUCUGUUAUUAGGGAAGAACAUAUGUGUAAGUAACUGUGCACAUCUUGACGGUACCUAAUCAGAAAGCCACGGCUAACUACGUG
rnacentral:rRNA from 1 species